CAGAGAGCCAAAAUGGCUUGAUAUUGCUAAUGAGGGAGAAAGAAAGCAUAUCAAGGAUGCAUUAGCAUUUCUAUGCCUGCUCUUACAUUCUGGAGUUCGUAACAGCCAUAAAAACAUUUUAUUGUUGUACUUAGGAAGGAAUAUAGCUGUAAAUAUAGCUCAAUUUCAUAAUUUCUCCAAAGUAUAUGUAAGAAUUAUCACUGUUCUAAACAAUCUUUCACUCUAGACAAUUGUAUUCCACAAAUGUUGUUUCCAAUUUCAGUCUUCAGUUGUAAAUGAAGUGGUAGGAAACACCCCCAAGAAAGCACUAGUGUUGUAUCUCUGUGAAUUACAAAGUGUUUUCAGGAUCCUGCUUAGGGUCCUGUUUGGGAUCCUGCUGACUGACUCAAAAACAAAAGAUGGCAGGAAACACAAGAAGAACAGUUUUUAAUUUAGACAAGGUAACUUCUGAAAAGAUAAUCUAGAGACUAUUAUGGAGGUCAAAAAGGUAAUAGCAAAGAGAAAAAAAUGGAAAAAUAAUUGUGGGCAGAAGUGGAAGAGAAAAUAAAAUGAUUAAAAAGCAAAAAUAGGAGAUGGAAAGAUGGAAAGUAAUCUAAAGACAGGAAACAGGAAAAUGUGGGAAAGAAACAAGAGGCACUGUUAUUUAAUUAACGCAUGUUGUUACCUUAUUUUGGAGAUAAGUAAACACAGGGCAGUCAUGCCAGUUACAGCUACAGGAUUGGAAAAUAGAGGCAAAGUCAUACUUUCCUCUGAUUUAUAACAUUCUUCUAGGCUUUUUAGCCUUUUCUUCUAUAAGAGAUGAACAUAUUGAGGACUAAGAGGAAACUUUUAAAACACCAAAUGUGUUUCUGAAAGUGAAAUGGAGAAAUUAGAGUUAACCCCUACUGAGAAAGCCCACAUCAACCACAACAGGCACAGUGUGUGUACUGACAUCUCCAAAUCAUUCUGUGUUUCUGAACUCAUUUUCCAGCACUUGUAGAGUUUACCCUUGUUAUGGUAUGUCUUUUGUUAUUUGUUACGCUUGUUAUCAUAUAUAUUUUACAGAAUAGAUGGCCAGAUGUCAUUGUCAGGUGUUAUGCUGCUUUGUAUGGCUACAGGAGGUUGAAAGCAAUCCUAAUACUUGACACUGUGGCCUUGUGGGGAGUCUCAUCUCUGCAGUUAUACUGUAGGUGAAUCUAAGCCAGACAGUGGUCUACCAGAUGCAGGCAAUCACCACAAAACAGACUCUUUUCAUUUUUAAGCCCAUGUUUUUCAUGGAAGAGGUCUAGUGUUAGUGUGGUCACUGCUUCACAAUUUUUUUUUGUAAGCAGUUUUAAUGAGUACCAUUUUAAAACAUGAAUUGCAAGCUCUUCAGUGAAUGUGAGUGGGUGAGCAGUGCUUUGUGCUGAAAUGAAUUAUAAUUUGUCUCUUGACUUGGAGUGAUGAGGAGAGGUGGUGG
ensembl:lncRNA